UACAGAGGUCUCGAGCGUUAGGCGGAAUCACUGGGCUUAAAGCGUGUGUAGGCGGAUCGGUAAGUACCUUGUGAAAUCCCCACAGCUUAACUGUGGAACUGCUCGGUAUACUGCCAGUCUUGAGCCAGCUAGGGGCUACCGGAACAAAUGGUGGAGCGGUGAAAUGCGUAGAUAUCAUUUGGAACGCCAAUGGUGAAAACAGGUAGCUGGGGCUGUGCUGACGCUGAGACACGAAAGCCAGGGGAGCAAACGGG
rnacentral:rRNA from 1 species